GUUCUUAGCAUUCAGUUUAUCAUUAACUGUUGUGAGUGAUUGGAAACCUAUAAAAUUAUUUCGAUUUUAAUAUGGGUGGUUGUUGCAGUACGAGGAAAUCCGUUGACUUACCAACUGUACCACCCGCUAAUGGUAUACCUAAUUCAAGGGAUUACCCAGCUACCGAGGUUACUACAAUUGGAAAUCCCGGCACAAAUAUCGGCAACACAAAUUUGGCGUUAGAGGAGGAUUAAAGGAAUUAUGCAUUCGUGAUGAUAAGCUUGAAAGAUAUUGUUUAAAUUUAAGCCUUUAUAUAAGUAUGUAGCAAAAUCUAAAUUUAAAAUGUACAUAAAUAGUACAUUAAAUAAAUUAUGUUAUGUUCGGACAUAAGUGCGAUUCUCCAAAUA